UACAGAGGUCUCAAGCGUUGUUCGGAUUCAUUGGGCGUAAAGGGUGCGUAGGCGGCGCGGUAAGUCGGGUGUGAAAUCUCGGAGCUUAACUCCGAAACUGCAUUCGAUACUGCCGUGCUUGAGGACUGGAGAGGAGACUGGAAUUUACGGUGUAGCGGUGAAAUGCGCAGAUAUCAGGAGGAACACCGGUGGCGAAGGCGGGUCUCUGGGCCGAUACUGACGCUGAGGAGCGAAAGCAUGGGUAGCGAACAGG
rnacentral:rRNA from 1 species